UACGUAGGGGGCAAGCGUUAUCCGGAUUUACUGGGUGUAAAGGGAGCGUAGACGGCAGGGCAAGUCUGGAGUGAAAGGCAGGGGCCCAACCCCUGGACUGCUCUGGAAACUGUCCGGCUGGAGUGCAGGAGAGGUAAGUGGAAUUCCUAGUGUAGCGGUGAAAUGCGUAGAUAUUAGGAGGAACACCAGUGGCGAAGGCGGCUUACUGGACGAUGACUGACGCUGAGGCUCGAAAGCGUGGGGAGCAAACAGG
rnacentral:rRNA from 1 species